rnacentral:rRNA from 1 species
CAUCGCGAGGUGAAGCAAAUCCCAAAAAAGUAGUCUCAGUUCAGAUUGUAGGCUGCAACUCGCCUACAUGAAGUCGGAAUUGCUAGUAAUCGCGGAUCAGCAUGCCGCGGUGAAUACGUUCCCGGGCCUUGUACACACCGCCCGUCACACCAUGAGAGCCGGUAACACCCGAAGUCAGUAGCCUAACCGCAAGGGGGGCGCUGCCGAAGGUGGGAUUGGUAAUUGGGGUGAAGUCGUAACAAGGUACC